rnacentral:rRNA from 1 species
AUUGAACGCUGGCGGCAGGCCUAACACAUGCAAGUCGAACGAGUGGCGGACGAGUGAGUAAUGUCUGGGAAACUGCCUGAUGGAGGGGGAGAACUACUGGAAACGGUAGCUAAUCCCGCAUACCAUCAGAUUUGCCACAAGGGGAUGAGCUUGUUGGUGGGGUAACGGCUCACCAAGGCGACGAUCCCUAGCUGGUCUGAGCGGAUGACCAGCAACACUGGAACUGAGCAACGGUCCAGACUCCGACGGGAGGUAGCAGUGGGGAAUAUGGCACAAUGGGCGCAAGCCGGAUGCAGCCAUGCCGCGGGUAUGAAGAAGGCCUUCGGGUUGUAAAGUACUUUCAGCGGGGAGGCGUUACCCGCAGAAGAAGCACCGGCUAACUCCGUGCCAGCAGCCGCGGUAAUAC